UUCACAAAAAGAGCAAAACAACCCCUUACCCAUUCACGACUUCAUAUUUCACAAAUCUGUUUGACUCAUUCAAAACAACCCCUUACAUGGUAAUUGCAAAAUAAAGGAGUUUGAACAUAAUUCUGGAAUUAAAGCCAUGCAGUAAACAAGGAUUGAAAAAUUAACCAUACUAAUUAAAUUUUAAAUGAGAUGAAGUUAAACAGAAUAUAGUUCUCAACAUAUGUUGAAGAAAACAGAUAUGAUAUUGAGGCCCUAAAACACUAAAUUACUUGCAACAAAACUGUUCAUAAAGGAUGCUGGUAUCACUUUGCUGGAAAUCUAUAGCUACAAAACCGCAAUUUAUAUGAUGCCAAUCUUGUUUGCCACAUCCAAGGCAUCAUAGUCUGGAGUCAACCUAACAUAUGCCUUCUUAGUUCCAUCUGGCCUGAUCAAAGUAUUCACUUUCUUGGUCUGAAUAUCAUACAUUUUCUUUACUGCAUCUUUGAUUUUCUUCUUGUCUGCACGAAUGUCAACAAUAAACACAAGUGUGUUGUUGUCCUCAAUCUUCUUCAUGGCAGACUCGGUAGUCAAUGGAUACUUCAAAAUUUGAUAGUGGUCCAACUUGUUUCUUGGUGGAGCACUGAUGCGAGGAUACUUUGGGUUUCUCUCCUUCUUCAAUGUCUUGGGCCGGUGGAAUGUGACCUUUGUCCUGAUCUUCUUAGCUUUCUUCUUAAAUGUUGGGCCCGAUUUCACGGCCUUGGCAGCCUUCACAGCUUGUGCCUUGGGAUCAGUCCUUUUGGUAGCAUCAGCUGCAAGAGGUGAAGAAUAAAUUUUUGUAGCACAAACAAAGCCAGGUACAGAAUGCAUAUUUCUUAGAUGAAAAAGAGGUAAAAACUACAUAGGAAGACAAGAAUGCAUUUGAAAACUUCAUGUCAAACACCAAUAAACUCAAAUCACAAUAAGCUUAGCAAACAUCAAUCGCUAUGCAAAAGAGUACAAUCCAAUGACAAUUUUUUCAAGUUACUUUUGCCUGUCAUUAUGGCCCUAAAAUUGUUAAAAUUUUAUAAAAAAAUAUUGAAUAUUUCCUUUUCCAAAACAAAAACCUAAGAAAGCGUGGAAAUGAAAAACUAGAGAGAAUUAACCAAACGUCAUCUUCCUGCUACUUUUAAGAAUAUCAGCAUGGCCAAAGGGGAUAUACCCUUCAUCAAAUUAAAGGGCUAACACAGACCUUUUUUUGUUAUACAUUUUGGAACUUAAGCACUUAAACGUUCAUGCAGAAUAUGCCCACAAAAAUAAAUUUGAAAUCUAAACGAACUACAUGUUUCACAUGCUGAAGAAACUCCCCUUUUCCCACACAACAUACAUUUUAGUCCCUCUUAUAAGAUCUCUUUUUUAAGUUUUAAGAAAAC
rnacentral:misc_RNA from 1 species